CCUACGGGGGGCAGCAGUGGGGAAUAUUGCGCAAUGGGCGAAAGCCUGACGCAGCGACGCCGCGUGAGGGAUGAAGGUCUUCGGAUCGUAAACCUCUGUCAGCAGGGAAGUACGGUCACUGUGCUAAUCAGCAGUGAAUUGACGGUACCUGCAAAGGAAGCACCGGCGAACUCCGUGCCAGCAGCCGCGGUAAUACGGAGGGUGCGAGCGUUAAUCGGAAUUACUGGGCGGAAAGCGCUCGUAGGCGGUAUGUCAAGUCAAGGGUGAAAUCCCCGCGCUCAACGAGAGAACUGCCUUUGAAACUGGCAGACUGGAGUGUGUGAGAGGAUGGUGGAAUGCCAGGUGUAGGAGUGAAAUCCGUAGAUAUCUGGAGGAACAUCAGUGGCGAAGGCGACUAUCUAACACAUAACUGACACUGAAGAGCGAAAGCGUGGGUAGCAAACAGGAUUAGAUACCCGAGUAGUC
rnacentral:rRNA from 1 species